CCUACGGGAGGCAGCAGUGGGGAAUAUUGCACAAUGGGCGCAAGCCUGAUGCAGCCAUGCCGCGUGUAUGAAGAAGGCCUUCGGGUUGUAAAGUACUUUCAGCGAGGAGGAAGGCGUUGUGGUUAAUAACCGCAGCGAUUGACGUUACUCGCAGAAGAAGCACCGGCUAACUCCGUGCCAGCAGCCGCGGUAAUA
rnacentral:rRNA from 1 species